GGAAUAGCGCCAACGCAUGAGUUAUCUGCUCUGCCAGACAUACGUUGUCCAUAGAGGCCCGAGAAGCACGUUGCUCCAAGGAAGGGGAACGCAAGCUACCAGGCCAACAUAGAGAAGAUUGACUAUGAGGACCAGAAGGUUCUGAUCCACUACCGUCAGUGGAGCCACCGCUAUGACGAGUGGUUUGGCUGGACCAGCCCCUACCUGAGACCCCUGGAGCGGAUCCACCUGAGGAGAGAGGGUCUGCAGGACAACCAGCCCAGGCCCACCCCGCUUCCUAUACUGUGAAGUUUUUCGAUGGAGUGGUCAAGACAGUUAAGCCAACCAAAGUAAAGCCAUAUAAGCCAGAGAAAGUCAACACGAACUGAGGAAGAGGAGGGUGUCUCUUGGACAGAUGCCACCACCAAAGAAGAAAAGGCCAGACACAAGCAAAG